GGGCGGAUAGCUCAGCUGGUCAGAGCAUCUGGCUUACAACCAGGGGGUCGGGGGUUCAAGUCCCUCUCCGCCCA
rnacentral:tRNA from 1 species